rnacentral:sRNA from 1 species
AGCCGGAAGCUAGCAUGGCGGCCGCCGGGGCUGCGGCUACAGACCUAGAGGUGGCCCGGGGCAAGCGCGCCGCCCUCUUCUUCGCUGCGGUGGCCAUCGUGCUGGGGCUACCGCUCUGGUGGAAGACCACGGAGACCUACCGGGCCUCGUUGCCUUACUCCCAGAUCAGUGGCCUGAAUGCCCUUCAGCUCCGCCUCAUGGUGCCUGUCACUGUCGUGUUUACGCGGGAGUCAGUGCCCCUGGACGACCAGGAGAAGCUGCCCUUCACCGUUGUGCAUGAAAGAGAGAUUCCUCUGAAAUACAAAAUGAAAAUCAAAUGCCGUUUCCAGAAGGCCUAUCGGAGGGCUUUGGACCAUGAGGAGGAGGCCCUGUCAUCGGGCAGUGUGCAAGGUAUGGGAAGGGAUGAGCACACCAUUUUAAUGUGAAGCCCUCUUUUUCCUUCUGAUCUCUAAGUGCAUAGUUCCCAUGCUUUGGCUUACUU